GUUUCCAUAGUGACGUGUAGCGGUUAUCACGUUCGCCUAACACGCGAAAGGUCCCCGGUUCGAUCCCGGGCGGAAACA